CUCUCUCCCUCGCUGUGUCUCUGCUAUCUGUUCUGCAGCUCAGUCAAGUACAGCCGCCCUCGGAAAGUGCAAAAGCAGCCACUAGACAGAUCCAGGCUUUGUUGCUAAUUUCCCAGGGUGAAAAUUGACAAGCCUGGGAGUGCAGUCAGCACAACCCAUUGCAUAUGCUACUGACAAACGCUGGGGACAUUCCCUCCCACCCAUCCCCAUCACACAGAGAAUGUGACCUCUGCAGGACUGGACUCUGGAAGGACCCUACCUCCAGGACUCGCCCACAAGAAGAACUGCGAAAGAGCUCCAGAGAAGGAAAAAAAAUCAUCAGAAAAACCCCCGUGCAGACGAAGAGGCUUGAUGCUUAAUGCGCACAGAUGUGAUCGCCAGUGGUCGCCGACAAUGAAAUAUACAAGUGCACACAAAGUGAGCCGAUGAAAACUUUAAGGAACAAUGAAGGAGAGAGGUGCCGCUCUGAACCGGUGAGAAGAAAAAAAUUACACAGCACACCUGGGACAGAUGAAGCCAAACUAGUGCUUUUAUAAUGCCAAUCAGCACGGCUGUUAUCAUCCCUCUAAUUAGGAAAGCUGCCUAAAACAGAGCGCACUUGGGGAAAUGGUAAUGUUAUGGUUUUGCACUUAAAAGGAGGCACAUUUCCUGCGCUGUAAGGAUCUGGGAUUGGGGCUGACAAGUCCUUUAAUUAAUGGCAGGAUUCCCUGUGUGUGCAAGUGUGUGUGCUUGUUUUAAUUCAUAAAAGUGGACAAAGGGUUCCAGGAAGGGGGCUGCUAUGGGAAGGGAGGGGAGAACCCAUUAGUUGAAGAUGAGCACAGUGCAGAGCUACAUUCAUUUUUUUUUCUUUUCUUUUUUUUUUUAAAUCCCCAAGGGACUAAGGUGCAGAACUAGAGUGAGUUGUUCCCCAGUCCCUGAAUUUGAACACUGGACUGAAUAACAAAGCUUAAGACCACAAGACAAACACAGAGUUCCCAGAUAACUGGUUUUUCAAGUGUAGUACCUCUGCUCUAGUCCUUCCUACUCUCUGCUUGGGAAGGUGUCCUCCAAGGUUCACCUUGGCUCCUCUGGACAGUUCCCUGCUCAGGAGGGACUGGGCUCUUCUUCAGUUUUCUGGUAUGGAAGAUAUAUGUGGUAUCAAUUAUUCUAGGACCCAGAUCACUCUUUCCCUUUUAGUAUGUGACCAAGCAUCCUAAGACAGGGUGAUGGUGUUUGUUUUCUGGAAGGUUUUGAAAUUUGGCACUUUGAAGCUGUCAGGCAGCAUUGGCUGAGCGCACUGUUUUAAAAUAGCUUUUCCAUGCUCAGGAGCAGCUCCCCCACUAACUCCAAAAGCUGCUUCAACAUUCACCCCCCCUGCCCUCUGCUUCACAAAUGUGCAUGCACAUAGCUGUUCUCAGGCACAGACGGUGCAUGCUAGGGGGUGUUUUUAACGGUAACAGGCAUAAGAUCAUGUCCCCAUCUGAUAUAUUUUAUAACUUUUAUGUUUUUAUCAAAAGUAAAUUUCAAAUAUUCUGUUGUCAUCUCAGACAUACCAGCAUACAGCCUCAAAAUAGGUACAGUCACCAGAGCUACGGUGAUGGAUCAAACAAAUUUAUCUGCCAUCAAACUCACGUUCUUGACUUGGGAAUCUCUCUCGGAAACGGGAUUUCUGAGUAAAGCAAAGCCCAGCAAUUGAAUGAAACCUUAAAUUUAUCCUCCUAAGGACAGAAUAGUUUUACAAUCAUGUUUUAAUUUUUUUGUUUGUAUUUUACACCUUUGACAUUUUAUGGUCAAAUUUAAGGAGCAGCCAGGGGGAUGACAGGCUUUGGGAUGAUGGCGGGACUAAGCGUUUUCUUAAUUCAAACAAGGCAGAGAGUGAAACCACGUAGUCUAAUGGUCAAUGUCUCAAUAAGAUGAGAAUAAACAGAAAGAGACUCCAUGCAUUAUUUGUAUUUUAUCAAAGGUUGUUGCUGUAGAAUGUGAAGCACAAUAAAUAGCAUUCUGUUAGCAAGCAUUUGGAAGAAAAUGUUCAUCACUUUCAAAUAAAAUUACUUCCUUCC